CGCCCCUCAACGCUAAACCCCGCCCACUCAAUAAACAAUUCGUGUAGAAGGAUAGCGAUCCAUUAAAACCGCUAUUUUUCUAUAUGAAUUGUUUAUUAAGUGGGCGGGUU
rnacentral:pre_miRNA from 1 species